GAGGGGUGGGGGUGGGGAUGGUAUCGAAGACUUUACCAAUUUAGAAGUUGGCACCUUCUGUAUCAGACUUUUUAAGAAACUCUAUGAUGCAUAAAAUGUUGAAUAUUAUAUGAUGUAUUAUGAUCCCACCAAGAUGCUUUUGAGAUAGAUCAUGCGGAUUGACUUAAAACAUUUUUUUAACUUAAAUAGCCUCCUACCAAUUCUGUUUGGGGAAGGGAAGAUAGAUAGAUAGAGAGAGAGA
rnacentral:lncRNA from 1 species